rnacentral:rRNA from 1 species
UCUUAUUUGUCUCUUCUGUAAAGGUACCAGAUCUCAUCUGAUCUUGGAAGCUAAGUAAGGUCAUCCCUGGUUAGUACAUGGUUGGGAGACCAGCAACAAAUACCAGGUGCUGUAGGCU